GGAUUGAAAUGGGGGAACCCUGAUCCAGCCAUGCCGCGUGAGUGAAGAAGGCCUUCGGGUUGUAAAGCUCUUUUGGCCGGGAAGAAAGGGCCUCCUUGAAUACGGGGGGUUUUUGACGGUACCGGCAGAAUAAGCACCGGCUAACUACGUGCCAGCAGCCGCGGUAAUACGUAGGGUGCGAGCGUUAAUCGGAAUUACUGGGCGUAAAGCGUGCGUAGGCGGUUCGUUAUGUCUGCUGUGAAAUCCCCGGGCUCAACCUGGGAAUGGCAGUGGAAACUGGCGGGCUUGAGUGUGGCAGAGGGGGGUGGAAUUCCGCGUGUAGCAGUGAAAUGCGUAGAGAUGCGGAGGAACACCGAUGGCGAAGGCAGCCCCCUGGGCUGACACUGACGCUGAGGCACGAAAGCGUGGGGAGCAAACAGGAUUAGAUACCCUGGUAGUCCACGCCCUAAACGAUGAUCACUAGGUGUUGGAGAAGCGAUUUUCCAGUACCGAAGCUAACGCGUGAAGUGAUCCGCCUGGGGAGUACGGUCGCAAGAUUAAAACUCAAAGAAAUUGACGGA
rnacentral:rRNA from 1 species